UCGUCUGAUAGAUGUUGUAGAUGAAGAAGAAAUUCCCGGUAGCUUGAAAUGCCUCCGGUACAAGAGUAUACAUACCCGUUCCGAUCGAGCUUCUACUAUCGUCAGAAUGUUGUUAUCACCGCGUGGUUAUUCGUUCCGGGUCCGGUAGCAGAACAAUUAUCCAGCUAAAUAAUAUGCCGUGAAUUGCGAUGAAUUAAUCCGGUAAUUUCAAGAGAAACUUCAACUGGAGCAUCGAAGCGAAGCGGUGAUUAGUGAAAUGGCUUGUUUAACAGCAUUGGAAAUCCGUAGCAUCGAUCGCAGGAGCUCUCCGGAUCGGACAGGUCGGAGAGAGAGGGCACUUUCCGCAUCGAGGUGAACCUGCCGGAGAGGGCAGGCACCAGGCCCUCUUCCUCGGCGUCAGAGGCCAGCUCUUGUUUCAUCAACUUCGCCAUAACCGUCAACAUGCCGCCACCGUCGCUAAUGCUGCCGCCUCCCAGAUAGCUACCCACGCCUCUGGCAUCGCGCUGAAAGAAGAAGAAAGCAGAGACUUUCUUUUUAAUUCGAUCUAUUGACAGAAUGAUACAUUGUUGCUCGAUUUUUGUUAAUAUCGAUCGUGAACGAGAAUCAGAUUCGUUAAAAAAAAGGCAGUAAAAAGAAUAAAUUGGUAACAUUCACAUUACCAUUAUUCUUAACAUAAGAGAGCGAUGUUAGACAAUGUUACGAAUAGUCUAGUUUCGCAGUUACGGCAGACUAGACAUUGCUGUUGGCUUAUUUAAAUUUAAAGACGGUCAGUGUUUAACUAUAAUUGCAGUGUAUACGUAUAUGUUAAUGUAAUCAGAUGUGUAU
rnacentral:misc_RNA from 1 species